AUUGAACGCUGGCGGCAUGCCUUACACAUGCAAGUCGAACGGUAACAGGUCUUCGGAUGCUGACGAGUGGCGAACGGGUGAGUAAUACAUCGGAACGUGCCCGAGAGUGGGGGAUAACGAAGCGAAAGCUUUGCUAAUACCGCAUACGAUCUCAGGAUGAAAGCAGGGGACCGCAAGGCCUUGCGCUCACGGAGCGGCCGAUGGCAGAUUAGGUAGUUGGUGGGAUAAAAGCUUACCAAGCCGACGAUCUGUAGCUGGUCUGAGAGGACGACCAGCCACACUGGACUGAGACACGGCCCAGACUCCUACGGGAGGCAGCAGUGGGGAAGUUU
rnacentral:rRNA from 1 species